CACCUGAAUACAUAGGGUGUAAGAAGCGAACGCAGGGAACUGAAACAUCUAAGUACCUGCAGGAAAGGACAUCAACCGAGACUCCGCAAGUAGUGGCGAGCGAACGCGGACCAGGCCAGUGGCAAUUGUGAUUAAAGUGGAACGCUCUGGAAAGUGCGGCCGUAGUGGGUGACAGCCCCGUACGCGUAGAUAUCAUGAUUGUCCUAGAGUAGGGCGGGACACGAGAAAUCCUGUCUGAACAUGGGGAGACCACUCUCCAAGCCUAAGUACUCGUGCAUGACCGAUAGCGAACAAGUACCGUGAGGGAAAGGUGAAAAGCACCCCGACAAGGGGAGUGAAAUAGAACCUGAAACCGGAUGCCUACAAACAGUCGGAGCCCGCAAGGGUGACGGCGUACCUUUUGUAUAAUGGGUCAACGACUUAGUGUAACAAGCAAGCUUAAGCCGGUAGGUGUAGGCGAAGCGAAAGCGAGUCUGAAUAGGGCGAUAUAGUUUGUUGCAUUAGACCCGAAACCGAGUGAUCUAGCCAUGAGCAGGUUGAAGGUUGGGUAACACCAACUGGAGGACCGAACCCGCAUCUGUUGCAAUAGAUUGGGAUGACUUGUGGCUAGGGGUGAAAGGCCAAUCAAACUCGGAAAUAGCUGGUUCUCCGCGAAAUCUAUUUAGGUAGAGCGUCGAGCGAAUACCCCCGGGGGUAGAGCACUGGAUGGGCUAUGGGGACUCACCGUCUUACUGAUCCUAACCAAACUCCGAAUACCGGGGAGUACUACUCGGCAGACACACGGCGGGUGCUAACGUCCGUCGUGAAAAGGGCAACAACCCUAACCUCCAGCUAAGGUCCCCAAGUCAUGGCUAAGUGGGAAAGGAUGUGAGGAUCCCAAAACAACCAGGAUGUUGGCUUAGAAGCAGCCAUCAUUUAAAGAAAGCGUAACAGCUCACUGGUCUAAAUAAGGGUCUUUGCGCCGAAAAUGUAACGGGGCUGAAGCCAUGCACCGAAGCUGAGGAUGUGUAGCAAUACACGUGGUAGCGGAGCGUUCCGUAAGCUGAUGAAGGGAGACCCGUGAGGGCUCCUGGAGGUAUCGGAAGUGCGAAUGUUGACAUGAGUAACGAUAAAGAGGGUGAGAGACCCUCUCGCCGAAAGACCAAGGGUUCCUGCUUAAAGUUAAUCUGAGCAGGGUUAGCCGGCCCCUAAGGCGAGGCAGAAAUGCGUAGUCGAUGGGAACCACGUUAAUAUUCGUGGGCCUGGUGGUAGUGACGGAUUGCACAAGUUGUUCUGGUUUAUUGGAUUAUCAGGGCAGCGGAGCGGUUCCAGGAAAUAGCUCCACCGUAUAGACCGUACCCGAAACCGACACAGGUGGUCAGGUAGAGUAUACCAAGGCGCUUGAGAGAACUAUGUUGAAGGAACUCGGCAAAUUGCACGCGUAACUUCGGAAGAAGCGUGACCCCAUUUUACGCAAGUAUGAUGGGGUGGCACAGACCAGGGGGUAGCGACUGUUUAUCAAAAACACAGGGCUCUGCGAAGUCGCAAGACGACGUAUAGGGUCUGACGCCUGCCCGGUGCUGGAAGGUUAAGAGGAGAGGUGCAAGCUUUGAAUCGAAGCCCCAGUAAACGGCGGCCGUAACUAUAACGGUCCUAAGGUAGCGAAAUUCCUUGUCGGGUAAGUUCCGACCUGCACGAAUGGCGUAACGACUUCCCCGCUGUCUCCAACAUAGACUCAGUGAAAUUGAAUUCCCCGUGAAGAUGCGGGGUUCCUGCGGUCAGACGGAAAGACCCCGUGCACCUUUACUAUAGCUUUACACUGGCAUUCGUGUCGGCAUGUGUAGGAUAGGUGGUAGGCUUUGAAGCGGGGACGCCAGUUUCCGUGGAGCCAUCCUUGAAAUACCACCCUUAUCGUCAUGGAUGUCUAACCGCGGCCCGUCAUCCGGGUCCGGGACAGUGUAUGGUGGGUAGUUUGACUGGGGCGGUCGCCUCCGAAAGAGUAACGGAGGCGCGCGAUGGUGGGCUCAGACCGGUCGGAAAUCGGUCGUCGAGUGCAAUGGCAUAAGCCCGCCUGACUGCGAGACUGACAAGUCGAGCAGAGACGAAAGUCGGUCAUAGUGAUCCGGUGGUCCCGUGUGGAAGGGCCAUCGCUCAACGGAUAAAAGGUACGCCGGGGAUAACAGGCUGAUGACCCCC
rnacentral:rRNA from 1 species